rnacentral:tRNA from 1 species
GAGGGUAUAGCUCAAGUGGUAGAGCGCAUGCUUAGCAUGCACGAGAUCCUGGGUCCAGCCCCCAGUACCUCUA